rnacentral:rRNA from 1 species
ANCCUGCCGAUGACUCGGGGAUAGCCUUUCGAAAGAAAGAUUAAUACCCGAUGGCAUAGUUCUUCNNCAUGGUGGAACUAUUAAAGAAUUUCGGUCAUCGAUGGGGAUGCGUUCCAUUAGGUUGUUGGCGGGGUAACGGCCCACCAAGCCUUCGAUGGAUAGGGGUUCUGAGAGGAAGGUCCCCCACAUUGGAACUGAGACACGGUCCAAACUCCUACGGGAGGCAGCAGUGAGGAACAUUGGUCAAUGGACGAGAGUCUGAACCAGCCAAGUAGCGUGAAGGAUGACUGCCCUAUGGGUUGUAAACUUCUUUUAUACGGGAAUAAAGUGAGGCACGUGUGCCUUUUUGUAUGUACCGUAUGAAUAAGGAUCGGCUAACUCCGUGCCAGCAGCCGCGGUAAUACGGAGGAUCCGAGCGUUAUCCGGAUUUAUUGGGUUUAAAGGGAGCGUAGGCGGACGCUUAAGUCAGUUGUGAAAGUUCGCGGCUCAACCGUAAAAUUGCAGUUGAUACUGGGUGUCUUGAGUACAGUAGAGGCAGGCGGAAUUCGUGGUGUAGCGGUGAGAUGCUUAGAUAUCACGAAGAACUCCGAUUG